UGGGCCGUAUCCGGAUAUUGGGCGUAAGAGCUCGUAGGCGGUUUGUCGCGUCUGCCGUGAAAGUCCGGGGCUCAACUCCGGAUCUGCGGUGGGUACGGGCAGACUAGAGUGAUGUAGGGGAGACUGGAAUUCCUGGUGUAGCGGUGAAAUGCGCAGAUAUCAGGAGGAACACCGAUGGCGAAGGCAGGUCUCUGGGCAUUAACUGACGCUGAGGAGCGAAAGCAUGGGGAGCGAACAGGAUUAGAUACCCUGGUAGUCCAUGCCGUAAACGUUGGGCACUAGGUGUGGGGGACAUUCCACGUUUUCCGCGCCGUAGCUAACGCAUUAAGUGCCCCGCCUGGGGAGUACGGCCGCAAGGCUAAAACUCAAAGGAAUUGACGGGGGCCCGCACAAGCGGCGGAGCAUGCGGAUUGAUUCGAUGCAACGCGAACAACCUUACCUACCCUUGACAUGUCCGAGAGCCUGCUGAGAGGCGGGUGUGCCCGAAAGGGAAUCGGAACACAGGUGCUGCAUGGCUGUCGUCAGCUCGUGUCGUGAGAUGUUGGGUUAAGUCCCGCAACGAGCGCAACCCUUGUCCCUAGUUGCUACGCAAGGGCACUCUAGGGAGACUGCCGGUGACAAACCGGAGGAAGGUGGGGAUGACGUCAAGUCCUCAUGGCCCUUAUGGGUAGGGCUUCACACGUCAUACAAUGGCCGGUACAGAGGGUUGCCAAAGCGCGAGCUGGAGCCAAUCCCCAUAAAAGCCGGUCGUAGUCCGGAUUGCAGUCUGCAACUCGACUGCAUGAAGUCGGAAUCGCUAGUAAUCGCGGAUCAGCAUGUCGCGGUGAAUACGUUCCCGGGUCUUGUACACACCGCCCGUCACACCAUGGGAGUGGGUUCUACCAGAAGUAGGUAGGCUAACCGCAAGGGGGCCGCUUACCACGGUAGGAUUCAUGACUGGGGUGAAGUCGUAACAAGGUAAC
rnacentral:rRNA from 1 species